rnacentral:lncRNA from 10 species
GCUCCCGGGCGGGUCCUGAAGAGACCGUGGCUCCGUCUUCCCGGUCGACGCCCCGGGGCGACGAGUGCGGAUCCGCCGCGGUUCCCGCGCGUGCUCCAGGUUGGGCGGGAGCCGGGCGCCCCCUCGCGGCAGUCCUGGGGAGUCUCUGAAAAUCAGCGUUCGGAUGACUGCAGGCCGUGAUUUCGGAAAUGUCAACUGAAAUCGAGGCCACCAUCCCGUGCCUUGAUCGGAACGGAUGGAGAUUUUAAAAACUAAAAAAGAUGGCCCGGGCGCGGUAGCUCACGCGUGUAAACCCAGCACUUUGGGAGGCCGAGGCGGGCGGAUCACCCGAGGUCGAGAGUUUGAGACCAGCCUGACCAACGUGGAGAAACCCUGUCUCUACUAAAAAUACAAAAUUAGCUGGGCGUGGUGGCGCAUGCCUGUAAUCCCAGCUACUCGGGAGUCUGAGGCAGGAGAAUCGCUUGAACCCAGGAGGCGGAGGUUUCGGUGAGCUGCACCAUUGCACUCCGGCCUGGGCAACAAGAGUGAAACUCCGUCUCAAAAAAAUAAAAUAAAUAAAAUAAAAACUAAAAAAGAUGUCCAGUAGGCAAAAGUCAGUUGAGUUUCUUCAUAUCACCAAUAAUGGAUGGAAAUAAUUGGAACUAGAAAUAUUAAAAUACCAUUUACAAUAGCACCCCUGAAGCUGAAUCCAUUAAGUAUCAGCGUAACAAAAGGUGUGCAAACAUGCAUUCGGAAAACCAUGAAUCACAGUUGAGAGAAACCAAAAGAGGUAUAAGUAAAUGCAGAGAUGUUCCUUAUUUAGGAGAAGUACACUCAUUAUUGUGAAGGUGACAAUUCUUUCCAAAUCGAUCUAUAGAUUCAGCCAAAUCCCAGUUAAAUUCCAGGCAAAGAUAUCGACAAACUGUUCCUAAACCCAGAAUGGAUGAAAUAAGACUGAAGGAGAACAAAGUUAAAGACCUCACACAUCUGGAUCUGAACACUCACCCUAAAGCCACAGUAAUGAAGAGAGCGUGGCAGUGGUGAAGCGGUUAGACACAUAGAUAAGUGGGACAGAACAGAGAGCCCCCAAACAGACUCAAGCCAACUGACUUUGUCAAACGGACAAAGGCAACUCAGUGGAGAAAGAGAAGUCUGUUCCACAAAAGACAACAGAACAAUUGCAAACCAUAGGGGAAAGAAAUGAAUGGAGACAAAAACCUUGUAUUUUAUCCAAAAAUUCACUCAAAAUAGUCCAUAGACUUAAAUUUUCAAGUGCAAAGUUGUGAAAGUUAUAGAAGAAAGCCGAGAAAAAUAUCUGCAUGGCCUUGGUUUGGGUGAUGAGUUUCUAGAUGCAAUACACCAAAAGCCAACCCACAAAAGAAAACAAAACAAUAACGGGGACUUUAUUAAAAUUUAAAAUGGCUGCUCUGGUUAAGAGAACAAAAAAGCAAUUCACAGACUGAUUGAUAGAAAAUAUUUGGGAAACAGCCGGGCAAGGUGGCUCAUACCCAUAAUCGCAGCACUCUGGGAGGCCAAAGUGGGUGGAUCAUUUGAGGUCAGGAGUUCGAGACUAGCCUGGCCAACAUGGUGAAACCCCGUCUCUACUAAAAAUACAAAACAAAACAAAAAAAAUUAGCUGGAUGUGGUGGCACACGCCUGUAAUCUCAGUUACUCGGGAGGCUGAGGCAGGAGAAUUGCUUGAACCCAGGAGGCAGAGGUUGCAGUGAGCUGAGAUCGCACCACUGCACUCCAGCCUGGGUGAUGGAGUAAGACCCUGUCUCAAGAAAAAAAAAGAAAAUAUUUGGGAAACACAUCCGAAAAAGGACUUGUCUGCAAAAUAUUUUUUUUUAAAAAAAACCUCUAAAACUCAAAAAGAAUUAGAUGAACAACCCAAUUGAAAAUAUGUGAAGAUCUGAAAAGACACCUCAGCAAAGAAGAUGCACAGAUGCCAAAUAAGCAUCCAAAUUAAUUAAUUCUCAACAAACUUGUCCUGAGGGAAAAGCAGAUUAAAUGAGAUAGUACUGUACAUCUAUUAAAAUGGCUAAAAUCUAAAGAACAGUAGCAAUUGCAAUAGGAGGUCUCAUUCAUUGCUGGGGGAAGGCAUAAGGGUACAGUCACUUCAGCAGUUUUUCCAAAAACUAAACAAGUCUCACCAUCUGAUCCAACAAUCUCCUUCUUAGGUAUUUAGACAACUGCCUUGAAAAAUUAUGUCCAAGUAAAAACCAGCACACACAUGUAUAGAAGCACUAUUCAUAAUAGCCAAAAAUUAAAGGAAUCAUGACAUUCUUCAGUAGCUGAAUGCAUAACCAAACUGAAGUAUGCGGUGCAAUGGAAUGCUAUUCAGCAAAAGAAAGUCAUGACCUAUCCACCCAUGCCACCUGGAUGGACCUCACAGGCACACUGCUUCAUGAGAGAGAAAGUCAUGACCUAUCCACCCACGCCACCUGGAUGGACCUCACAGGCACACUGCUUCAUGAGAGAGAAAGAAAGGCAUGACCUAUCCACCCACGUCACCCGGAUGGACCUCACAGGCACACUGCUUCAUGAGAGAGAAAGUCAUGACCUAUCCACCCACGCCACCUGGAUGGACCUCACAGGCACACUGCUUCAUGAGAGAGAAAGAAAGUCAUGACCUAUCCACCCAUGCUACCUGGAUGGACCUCACAGGCACACUGCUUCAUGAGAGAGAAAGAAAGGCAUGACCUAUCCACCCACGCCACCCGGAUGGACCUCACAGGCACACUGCUUCAUGAGAGAGAAAGAAAGGCAUGACCUAUCCACCCACGCUACCCGGAUGGACCUCACAGGCACACUGCUUCAUGAGAGAGAAAGAAAGGCAUGACCUAUCCACCCACGUCACCUGGAUGGACCUCACAGGCACACUGCUUCAUGAGAGAGAAAGGCAUGACCUAUCCACCCACGUCACCCGGAUGGACCUCACAGGCACACUGCUUCAUGAGAGAGAAAGAAAGGCAUGACCUAUCCACCCACGCCACCCGGAUGGACCUCACAGGCACACUGCUUCAUGAGAGAGAAAGAAAGGCAUGACCUAUCCAUCCACGCUACCCGGAUGGACCUCACAGGCACACUGCUUCAUGAGAGAGCCAGGAUGCAGAGGCUGUACGUCCCCACUUAUAUGACAUGCUGGAAAGGCAAAACAACAGAGAUAGCAAACUGAUCAGUGGUGACACGGGAUUCAUGGCGGUGGGGAUUUGAAGUACUCCAUGUGAUACUUUAACUGUGGAUACCUGUCC